rnacentral:rRNA from 1 species
CUUGCCGUAAACGAUGUAUACUAGGUGUAGCCGGACUCAACCCUGGCUGUGCCGUAGCGAACGCGUUAAGUAUACCGCCUGGGGAGUACGCUCGCAAGGGUGAAACUCAAAAGAAUUGACGGGGACCCGCACAAGCAGUGGAGCAUGUGGUUUAAUUCGAUGCAACGCGAAGAACCUUACCCAGGUUUGACAUGCAGAGGACAGCGCCAGAAACGGCGUCUCUCGUAAGAGUCUCUGCACAGGUGC